GUGGCGAAAACUUACCACACGGAGGUGUGAAGAUAGGGUCAGGGACGGA
rnacentral:snoRNA from 1 species